UGGGGAAUUUUGGACAAUGGGGGCAACCCUGAUCCAGCCAUCCCGCGUGUGUGAAGAAGGCCUUCGGGUUGUAAAGCACUUUUGUCCGGAAAGAAAUCCUCUGGGUUAAUACCUCGGGGGGAUGACGGUACCGGAAGAAUAAGCACCGGCUAACCACGUGCCAGCAGCCGCGGUAAUACGUAGGGUGCAAGCGUUAAUCGGAAUUACUGGGCGUAAAGCGUGCGCAGGCGGUUUUGUAAGACGGAUGUGAAAUCCCCGGGCUUAACCUGGGAACUGCAUUCGUGACUGCAAGGCUAGAGUAUGGCAGAGGGGGGUAGAAUUCCACGUGUAGCAGUGAAAUGCGUAGAGAUGUGGAGGAAUACCGAUGGCGAAGGCAGCCCCCUGGGCCAAUACUGACGCUCAUGCACGAAAGCGUGGGGAGCAAACAGGAUUAGAUACCCUGGUAGUCCACGCCCUAAACGAUGUCAACUAGUUGUUGGGGAUUCAUUUCCUUAGUAACGUAGCUAACGCGUGAAGUUGACCGCCUGGGGAGUACGGUCGCAAGAUUAAAACUCAAAUGAAUUGACGGGGUCAUAGCUGUUUCCU
rnacentral:rRNA from 1 species